UAAACCCUGUUCCUUUUGCACGCUCUUCUCUUCUUUUGAGAAACCCUAAAAUCACAACCAACUUUCUUUGUUUAUGGAUUUCAAAAUCACAACCAGCUUUCUUUGUUUAUGGAUUUCAAAAUCACAACCAGCUUUCAAGCAAAGCAUCACCAUCGUUUAGCCAUAUGUUCAUUCCGGGGAGAAGCACCCAACUUAUUUAGAUACUGUUUAUUCAGAUUCUUGAUACCAAUUUGCUUAUUCAAUUAGCCUUGUUUGUCGUCUUCUACAUUGGCGAUUCGACUGGACUUUCUGCAUCAUCAACACCUAGAGAACAUGCUGGCACAAAGAAUACAACCCCUUCAGCGUUGAACCAUAGGUGUUGAAAACUGUUGAUGUUGCGAUAUUAAACAAUAUAACCCCUCACACGACUAGAAUAAUGGACAGACUAUGUAUUGCAUUUGAGGAAGAGCCUCAACCUUACAUUGAUUGCAUUGCAACUUUCAGGUUUGGUGUGUCAAUGGAAGUUAUUCUAAUUUGUAAUAUCUAUUAAACAAUCAACGUGCUCUACAAAUGGUAUGUUUUCAUUUUUGUAAUCGUCAAUAACAUUUUAUUUUUUCAAUAUAAUUAUUGUCAAUCUAUAUGAAACAUCAAAUUUCUAAGAAAUCCAACAUUUGACACACCAAGUUCUUUUGUCGCAACUGUCCUAUGUCGAUCUGGAGCUCCUAACGAACCUGAUUCCAGUCGGCUUAGAACAUCUCUAACAGAUGUUACAAACGCUUCUUGUGGAAAUUCUAGAUGCUGCAUUUUAAAGGAUAUAUGCUUCAUAAGUUGGUAUAUAAUUUGAGCACACAUUGCUAGUCGGAUGGUCAGUGAGGUAUGUAUAUUUCUUCUUUAGUUUACUUAUUCCACAAGCUUGUGUAAUACUUAUUAUAAAUUUUAUUGUUGCACUUCCAUGCAAUGAGGAGAUAACUAACAGACCAAGAACGUAUCAAGGUAUUCGCUUAUAUUGAAAUAACAAAGAUAUAGCCAGACAACUAAAAGACCAAAAAUGUAUCAAGGAAGAGCCUCAACCGUAUAUUGAUUGCAUUACAACUUUGCAGGUCUGGCGUGUCAACGGAAGUUAUUCUAAUUAAUUUGUAAUAUCUGUUAAAUAGUCAACGUGCUCUACAAAUGAUUUCUAAGAAAUUCAACAUUUGACACACCAAAUUCUUUUGUUGCAACUGGCUUAUGUCGAUCUAAAGCUCAUAACGAACCUGGUUCCAGUCGGCUUAGAAUUUCUCUAACAGAUGUUACAAACGGUUAGUAAAAUGAUGAAAGAUUUACUAUUAAUAGUUAUUAACAAUUUUUUAAUUAUUGUUUUUAACACUUUUUUUGUAUCAAGCUUUCAUCAUUUAUGUUUGUUAUGUUUCUUGAGUAGUAUAUGUUUUUUAGCUUCUUGUGGAAAUUCUAGAUACUGCAUUUUAGAGGAUAUAUGCUUCAUAAGUUGGUAUAUAAUUUGAGCACACAUUGCUAGCCGGAUCCGAGGUCAAUGAAGUAUUCCAUGUGUGGAGGAGAUAAAUAUUAAGACCGGGUGGUGUGGUUUAGCAUCACCCACUACCUCAACGUAUAUCACCCCAAAACAUAAUACCUCCAUUGCUAAAGGGGGCGUUAUUGAUGAUGGCAUCACCAUUGCCUUGACGAGCGUUCAGGUUUGGAUGUGUAGGGAUCACCUUUCAAGAGCCAAUCGUAUUCUUUUUCUCCUUUUUUUUCUUAUUAACAGGUAAAGAAGUUUUAUCCUACUACAUGGUAGUUAAAGGUGGGCCCUGUGUACGUGGUGUUGCGUGAUAAAGACCCUAGGGAGUAGUAGGGGCUUUACCCCACACCAUGCGGCCUAAAUACCAUUGGUGACCUGUUCAUAGACUUGUUCAACCGGAGGCACGGGCGGACCUGUAGUUAAAUUAGCCGUAGUCGGUAAUGUAAAAUUUAUUUUUUUCGAUUUUUAUACAAAGGACACCCCAAAACAACUAUGAGGACACCCCUAAAAAAUUGUAAGCCCAAAUUGUAAUUGUAAAUAAUAAGCCCAAAUCAGUUUA